rnacentral:lncRNA from 1 species
UUGCUACGAUCACUAUUUGAUAAUGACUUUUUAUAGGAUCCAACUUUGAUAGAUAGUAUCGAAAGUUACAAAAAGUCCUAGAGCAUGAAUGGAUCCUAUAUAUAAUUAUCAAUCCAGCACCUGAUGUUUCCACAUCCAACACACAUGAUGUGAUCAGAAGUGGCCAAAUGAUCAUUGUUAGAUGUGUGUCCUAAAAGCCAAUCUUGGCUGACACAUACUUUUAUCUAAGGCAUAU